UACGGGGGGGCAAGCGUUGUUCGGAAUUACUGGGCGUAAAGGGCUCGUAGGCGGCCAACUAAGUCAGACGUGAAAUCCCCCGGCUCAACUGGGAACUGCACAGGAAACUAGCGGGCUUGAGUUCGGGAGAGGGAAGCGGAAUUCCGGGUGUAGCGGUGAAAUGCGUAGAUAUCCGGAGGAACACCGGUGGCGAAGGCGGCUCCUGGACCGACACUGACGCUGAGGCGCGAAAGCUAGGGA
rnacentral:rRNA from 1 species